UACGGGGGGGGCAAGCGUUGUUCGGAAUUACUGGGCGUAAAGGGCUCGUAGGUGGCCAACUAAGUCAGACGUGAAAUCCCUCGGCUUAACCGGGGAACUGCAUCUGAUACUGGAUGGCUUGAGUUUGGGAGAGGGAUGCGGAAUUCCAGGUGUAGCGGUGAAAUGCGUAGAUAUCUGGAGGAACACCGGUGGCGAAGGCGGCAUCCUGGACCAACACUGACACUGAGAUACGAAAGCGUGGGUAGCAAACAGG
rnacentral:rRNA from 1 species